UUUGACCUCAAAUCAGGUAGGACUACCCGCUGAACUUAAGCAUAUCAAUAAGCGGAGGAAAAGAAACCAACAGGGAUUGCCUCAGUAACGGCGAGUGAAGCGGCAAAAGCUCAAAUUUGAAAUCUGGCACCUUCGGUGUCCGAGUUGUAAUUUGAAGAAGGUAACUUUGGAGUUGGCUCUUGUCUAUGUUCCUUGGAACAGGACGUCACAGAGGGUGAGAAUCCCGUGCGAUGAGAUGUCCAAUUCUAUGUAAAGUGCUUUCGAAGAGUCGAGUUGUUUGGGAAUGCAGCUCUAAGUGGGUGGUAAAUUCCAUCUAAAGCUAAAUAUUGGCGAGAGACCGAUAGCGAACAAGUACAGUGAUGGAAAGAUGAAAAGAACUUUGAAAAGAGAGUGAAAAAGUACGUGAAAUUGUUGAAAGGGAAGGGCUUGAGAUCAGACUUGGUAUUUUGCAAGCUUUACCUUCGUGGUGGAGUCCCCUGCAGUUUACUGGGCCAGCAUCGGUUUGGAUGGUAGGAUAAUGACUUGGGAAUGUGGCUUUGCUUCGGUAAAGUGUUAUAGCCCUUGUUGAUACUACCUGUCUAGACCGAGGACUGCGUCUUUGACUAGGAUGUUGGCAUAAUGAUCUUAAGUCGCCCGUCUUGAAACACGGACCAAGGAGUCUAACGUCUAUGCGAGUGUUUGGGUGUAAAACCCGUACGCGUAAUGAAAGUGAACGUAGGUGAGAGCUCGUAAGAGUGCAUCAUCGACCGAUCCUGAUGUCUUCGGAUGGAUUUGAGUAAGAGCAUAGCUGUUGGGACCCGAAAGAUGGUGAACUAUGCCUGAAUAGGGUGAAGCCAGAGGAAACUCUGGUGGAGGCUCGUAGCGGUUCUGACGUGCAAAUCGAU
rnacentral:rRNA from 1 species